AGGAUAGCCGAAAAUAUCCAUGGAAAAAAUAGACUUGGUUAGCAGAGGCAUGCCCCUCUUUUCUUCUUUUGCACUUAAAUGUUUUAUUGGGUCAAGUUUUGUUUUCCAACUUAUAUAUAGUUUGAGUGAAUAAGAAUGUGAAGAAUUCAUUCCCCACAACUGUUUGAGUGCACAGAGGUUGCAUGUUCUGAGUUUGCUAUUUGAUUCCAAGCAAAACUACAGGAUACAUAAACUAUGUUAUUUUUAGUUUGUCACGUCCAAGAUUAACAUGAAUUUUUCUAACCUACAGUGCAGGAGUCACAAGUGUUUUCUCAACUGUCAAGCAGCUGAAUGCUGUCUCUCACUGUUGUUUUCCCUAAUUUCAGAGUUUAGCUCCAAACCUAAUUAAUAGCAGACCUGAGCAGCUGAUCAAGGAAUCAGUCUAGAAGUCAUCCUGCCUCUUUGAUUGGUCGUGUUCAGAACUUGUUGCAGAAAAACAGCGAGGCUAAAGCAUUCAAAGUGUAAACAUCUGCUGUGGCUCAUUAAUCCAGAAUUGGGAUGGUGGAAGAAGCUGAAGAACCAGAAGCAUUGGAGCAUAAAUGUAGAACUUUUUAAUGAAAUCUGAGAAAUUUUUUAUUUAUCACGAGAGCAACAUGAAGAAUCAGUGUUGCGUUGGUGUGAGCUCGCCAGAUCUCACGGUGCAUUUGUGAAAAUGUGUUGGGGAUACAUCAAGAUGGAAACAUGAGCACCUGAAUGAAAGAGUUAAUAUAAAAGAAGGUGUUUAACUAGAAUAAUAAAAUGCCAGAAUAAUAAUACCUAGAUACUUGGAUACAACCAAUUUGCAUUCCAACCUAAAUUCGAGGUCAGAUUAAAUAAUACAAUGGAGUCAGAUUAGAUAAUAAAAUGGAGUCAGAUUUGAGUUGAACCUAAAUUGAAUAACUCUACCUGCUGAAAGAUAGAACAGGCAGGAAACCUUCAACCAGCACCAGAUAACUUCCUUGGGCCGAGUGGCUGGACCUUACAGCAACCAAGAUAUUUCACAAUUGGAAUAUCAGGUAUUUCAUUAUAUAGUGAGCAUGUUUUGGGAACAUUUUGAAUAAAACCGGAACAAUGAAAUAAAAGCGAUCCAUGUGUCAUACAGAUAUAUUUUGGCUGUGGAUGUGUGCUCAGGGCAUGUGCAGAGCAGCUUGCAGGGGUCUUCAGACAUUUUCAACCUGUCCCUCAACCAAGCAACUGUGCCAACAUGUUUUAAGUCCACAUCCAUUGUGCGAGUACUUUAACACUCCUCCCCAAUGUGCUUAAAUGACUACCACCGCGUAGCACUCACACCCAUCAUCAUGAAGUGCUUCGAGCGACUGGUCCUGGCACACCUCAAUGACUGCCUCCCACCCACACUGGACCCACACCAAUUUGCCUAAAGCAGAAAUAGGAGCACAGAGGAUGCAGUAUGCACAGUGCUGCACUCUGCACUCACACACUUGGACAAUAACAACACAUAUGCAUGGAUAUUGUUUGUUGACUCAUUCCCUCCAAGCUGACCACAAAACUUGGAGACCUGGACAUUAACACCUCCCUCUGCAACUGGAUUAUGGACUUUCAGACCAACAAGCUUCAGCAUGUUCGGUCAGGCCACACGCACU